AUCUUUUUGUAGCUUCUAAGUGUGAUCGGGUUUUCACAUGCAUAGGUAAGAUGCGCCUCCCCCAAACCUUGUGAUGAUGUCAGCACAGUAUCCCUCUGAUG
rfam:Callithrix jacchus chromosome 6, whole genome shotgun sequence